UCCGUAGGUGAACCUGCGGAAGGAUCAUUACCGAGUUGAUUCGAGCUCCGGCUCGACUCUCCCACCCCAUGUGUACCUACCUCUGUUGCUUUGGCGGGCCGCGGUCCUCCGCACCGACCCCCGUUCGGGGGGCCGGCCAGCGCCCGCCAGAGGACCACAAAACUCCAGUCAGUAAACGUCGCAGUCUGAGAAACAAGUUAAUAAACUAAAACUUUCAACAACGGAUCUCUUGGUUCUGGCAUCGAUGAAGAACGCAGCGAAAUGCGAUAAGUAAUGUGAAUUGCAGAAUUCAGUGAAUCAUCGAAUCUUUGAACGCACAUUGCGCCCCUUGGUAUUCCGAGGGGCAUGCCUGUUCGAGCGUCAUUUCAACCCUCAAGCUCUGCUUGGUAUUGGGCUCCGUCCUCUGUGGACGCGCCUCGAAGACCUCGGCGGUGGCGUCUUGCCUCAAGCGUAGUAGAAAACACCUCGCUUUGGAGCGCACGGCGUCGCCCGCCGGACGAACCUUUGAAUUUUUCUCAAGGUUGACCUCGGAUCAGGUAGGGAUACCCGCUGAACUUAAGCAUAUCAAUAAGCGGAGGA
rnacentral:rRNA from 1 species